rnacentral:rRNA from 1 species
GACGAACGCUGGCGGCGUGCCUAAUACAUGCAAGUAGAACGCACAGUUUAUACCGUAGCUUGCUACACCAUAGACUGUGAGUUGCGAACGGGUGAGUAACGCGUAGGUAACCUGCCUGGUAGCGGGGGAUAACUAUUGGAAACGAUAGCUAAUACCGCAUAAUAUUGAUUAUUGCAUGAUAAUUGAUUGAAAGAUGCUAUUGCAUCACUACCAGCUGGACCUGCGUUGUAUUAGCUAGUAGGUGAGGUAACGGCUCACCUAGGCGACGAUACAUAGCCGACCUGAGAGGGUGAUCGGCCACACUGGGACUGAGACACGGCCCAGACUCCUACGGGAGGCAGCAGGAGGGAAUCUUCGGCAAUGGACGAAAGUCUGACCGAGCAACGCCGCGUGAGGGAAGAAGGGUUUCGGAUCGGAAAGCUCGGUUGUAAGAGAAGAACGGGUGGGAGAGUGGAAAGUUCACACUGUGACGGUAUCUUACCAGAAAGGGACGGCUAACUACGUG